CCUGCCCUUCUCUGGGCUGUGGACAGAGGCCUCAGCUGGCUCUGCAGCCUGCCUCUUCUCUGUCCUCUGCCCAGCUCUGGUUACUUUGUCUUUGACCUUCCGCUUUGUCUCUGACUUCCACCCUCAGAUAAGGUCACAGAGUCCCAAGCCUGUGUGGUUGCCUUGGGGGUGCCCAGUGCCGUGCUCGGGGCCGAGGGGCGUGGUGCAGGAGGAGGUUCAGGCCCUGCCUUCUUGGGCUCCCGGGGGCUCUGGGUUGCUAGGUUGACCCCCAGGGGUCCUGGGGAAAAGACCCUAGGGAAGUGAAGUGUUCACUAAGAUGUCUGGACCUCGGGAGAAGGGGAAAGAGAAGCCCUCGGGGCAGGGACGUGGAUGCCAGAUGUGCCUGUGGAGAGAAUCCAUGGACCGCCUGCUCCCUCCCUCCCAAGUAUUUUACAUGGACUCACUCAAACAGGGAAGCCCAUGCUGGGGCCUUGCUGUGACGGUGUUGUUGGGCUGCUGAAGGAGUUUCUCUUAACCGACCCUUGUAUGGACACCAAAACGUCAUGGAAACUUCGGCACACCCUGGGCAGAGCCAUUAUCCUGUUUAAUGCGGUGCCAAGGGACAGCCGUGUCACAGGCACAGCUCCUGCCCUCCAGUGUCCAUCUCCCUCUAGCACCCUCUGCUGGCAAAGUGGGAGUGUGGCGGGCAGCCUUGCUGCCAGAAGCUGGGCACAGAGGGUAGGUGUGGACCUGAGCCCAUUUCACCACCAGCACCCUGUGAAUAUUAAUAAAGGGAAAGUCACUAAAAUGGAGUUGGGAUGCCAGAAGAGGGCGAUCUCAUGCACCUACCCCUCAAGGUCAAUACAGAUCCCAACAGCAAGAGACCUACCUUGCAUCUCUGGCAAGAAGUGACACCAAGACCAGCAGGAGGAAGGAAGAUUUUUCUCCCCGCCCGACAACAGCCCAGCCAAUGAAAAGCUACCACUCCGUCAACUCCCAGUUUCCUCCAAUGGACUCUGUUUAUAACAGCCCCUCCCAACUCCCCUUCUCCUCUGCAAAAGAGUCUCCUCUUCUUUGCUUUACCAGACAUGCAUAUAGUUCACCACAGUUGCAUUCUUUGCAAAUCCCAAAUUGCAAUCCUUUGCUAUUCCAGAACAAACACAUUUUGCUGGUAAAAUAACUGACUGUUAUACUGUUUUAGGUUAGCAACCCCCUCCCAUAGCCGAGACCACGCGCCCCUCAGGGCUCUUUCAAACCUCGCUCCAGCCCAGGACUGGAAGAUGCCUCGAAUGGGCAACUUGGGCCUGGCCCAGAGCACACUCCCUCCCCCUCCCUGCGCUGUGGAGAGCUCUGUCUGCUCCUGUUACCCUCCUAGGGCUCCAGAGAGCGAGGCCACCGGUAGGGGCUGGAGCAGGGUGGCUCCAGGGCCACACUUCCCACCCGGACCAGGAAGCAGGGGACAGUGGAGGCCACACUUGCUCGGGGCAGUGGAGCUUUCUCUGCCAGGUUCAGACCUCGAGUUCGUGCCCCUUGCCAGGUGGGGAAGGGUCUUGAACAGACACUGAAGUGGCUGAGUGGGCACAGGAUUGCCGCCCAUCUUUCCCCAGCUUGGAGGAUGCCAGCAGGGAUGGUUUUGAAGGAGAACCUUGUGUCCCCAAUGCUGCCCUGAGGUUCUCGAUCCCCAAGUUCAGGUGCCCUCUUGGCUGGUGAGGUAAAAGCCGGGUUGCUGGUCUGCGGGCAGGGACCCAGGCCACGCUGUUUAUACCACCACUGGGUCCCCUCUGCCUUCCCGUGCCUGCAGUGCCCAGCUUGGAGCCUGCCAC